ACCGGCUGCCCCAAGCUGCGCUGAUCCUUCACUCUCCGGUAGCAAGCUGGAGUCCGCCUGCUGCCUCCCCUUUAUCACUGACCACCUGCCUCUUCGACAAUAACACACCAAAACAAUCUCCGGCGAGCACAACCAAAGCAAGAGGAACAAGGCGAGACAAGACACUUGAUCGCUUUCUUAGUGCCACAUUUUCGGCUUCCAGUACUCCCCUCUCCUACCCUCUGCCCUGUCCUGAGGGAGGAGGACAGGCUGCGCACAGGAGCGCACUUGGUGAUCCGGGUUUGUUGUCGUUACCAGGAGAGGAGCGCUCAGCGACCCGAGCCAUACAGCUGGUACAGCUCUCAUUAAACCGUGUUGCCCCACCUCAGAGGAGAUACUUGCAUGGAUGCACCAUGGCCACGUUUGUCUGCAGGGUUCAGUUUUUAGAUGACACCGAUCCGUUCAACAGCACGAAUUUCCCAGAACCGACGAGACCUCCGCUUUACACCUUCAGGGAGGAUAUCCCACUCAUCAACCAGUUAGCAGGCAUCCACCGGCUCCUUAGGGCUCCACACAAGCUUGAUGACUGUACGCUGCAGCUAUCUCACAAUGGCACCUAUCUGGAUCUGGAGUCAUCUCUGGCUGAGCAAAAGGACGAGCUGGAGGGCUUUCAGCAGGACGACACAGGGUCAAGAGGGAAGAAGCACAGUGUUGUUCUACGGACCCAGCUGACCGUCCGUGUUCACGCCUGCAUCGAAAGACUGUAUAACUCCAAUGGACGUGACUUGAGAAGGGCACUGUUCUCUCUAAAGCAAAUUUUUCAGGAUGACAAAGAUCUGGUUCAUGAGUUUGUGAUGGCUGAAGGUCUGACAUGUCUCAUCAAGGUGGGCGCAGAAGCUGACCAGAACUACCAGAACUACAUAUUAAGAGCUCUGGGGCAGAUCAUGCUGUAUGUGGACGGGAUGAACGGAGUCAUUGGGCACGCUGAGACGAUCCAGUGGCUGUACACUCUUGUUGGCUCUAAGUUCCGUCUGGUGGUGAAAACAACUCUGAAGCUGCUGUUGGUGUUUGUGGAGUACUCCGAGUCCAACGGUCCGCUGCUGAUAGAAGCCAUCAGCUCUGUGGACACCAAGAGAGGAUGCAAGCCUUGGUCCAACACUAUGGAGAUCUUGCAUGAGAAGGAUGGUGUAGACACAGAGCUGCUGGUCUACGCCAUGACCCUCAUCAAUAAGACGCUCGCAGCUCUGCCUGAUCAGGACUCAUUUUACGAUAUGGUGGAUGGUCUGGAGGAACAGGGCAUGGACACGGUGUCCCAAAGACAUCUGGGGCGGAAAGGCACCGAUCUGGACUUGGUUGAGCAGCUCAACAUCUAUGAGAUGAGCAUACGGCAUGAAGACGGGGACGAUGACAGCCAGCCUCCACCAAUAGGACGCCGGGACCGCAGACGAGUCAGCCUUGGGGCCGGAGACAAAAUGCACGGCCUGGAGAGAAGGCGGAGCCGCAGGGCCUCUCUCGGCCGAUCCGGUCAGGCCUCGCCCUGCAGCCCUGCGUCCCCGCAGAGAGCCGGCAUUCAGCCUUUCUAUGGACAGAGAGCUGAAGACAUGAGCGAGAGACAUCUUCCAUCCAUAGUUCAACGAACAACCGUCCAGUCCAUCACCAUCACUUCCAGAAAGGAGAAUAUCAAAGAGGAGGAGCAGAGGAAUCGGAAUGAACCAACUCCAGCACCCACAAUCCACUCCCCCUCUACCUCCACCUUUUCUCCUCCUGUGUCCUCCCCUCUCAGCCCCCCUGCCCAACCCUCCCUUCUGUCCUCCCUGCUGGCCAGGAAGAGGUCCAUCGUCACUGUCCCGGCUACCAAGGAGGUCAGCCCGCCAUCACGCGGAAGCUCCCGUCCAUCCCCCGAACGCAUGCCCUACCUGCCCCACUCACCCUUCCACCUCUUCUCCUACGAUCUCGAUGAGGAGCCGUCACCCCCGGCUCCACCCAAACCCAGAGAGGAGUCCCCCAAACCCAGUGAGGAGUCUCCCAAAACAACGCCUCCCAGGAAUGGAGGUCUCAUGUCCUAUUCCUCUCUCAGCACCCCAAGUACGCCCACCACCUCCAGACCUGCUUUGGGAGGUCUUCUGUCCUCCUCGUACCGACAACACCAGGAAUCUCUGGCGGCCGAGCGGGAGCGCCGUCGUGUGGAGAGAGAGGAGAGGCUGCUGAGGAUAGAGAGGGAGGAGAGGAACAAGCACAGCCGCGACUAUGUGGAUAAAAUGGAAGAGGCCAGGCUUGCGCGGGAGGAGAGGUAUAAGAACGUGGAGCGUCUGGCGUCGGAGGAGUACGAGAGGGAGCACGUCCGGGUGCCGAGGACUCGCCCUGACCUCAACCUGACUUUUGAGCCCGCGGAGGCUUGGCCCUCGUCAUCUCGCAGCAGCACCCCGUCCUCUUUCGCCUCCCAGGAGGACGCAGAGGCUGACCUCGAAGCCGGGACCCCCGCCAUCCCCUACACACCCUCUGAGACUGGAGAGGCUGAUGACUCCAGUGCCAGUGUAGAGGAAAAAGAGGCCACUGCUGAAGAGGAAGAACAGAAAGAGGAGGACGUACAGGAGGAAACAGCAGCAGCAGAAAAGGAGGAAGAAACUGAAGAGUGUGAGCGGGAGCCGGAGAAGGAGAAAGAGGAGGCGGAGUCGGACAGCGGGAUCCUGAGUGACAAAGAACGACAGAAUGAGGAAGUGAAUGAGAAGGACAACUGCUCGGCGUCCAGCAUCUCCUCUGCCAGCAGCACUCUGGAGAGAGAGGAGAGGGGGGGCAGUGAGAAUGGCUUUAAGGAGCCAGAGGUGAACGAUCAGUGUGGCAAACUCCUCAACAGCAAGCUCUUCAUGCUGGACAUGCUGUACUCCCAGAACAAGAAGCCCAGCGACGAGGAGGAGGAGGAGGAAGAAGAGGAUGUGGAGAAGGAGAAGGAGAAAGAGAAAGGAGAGGGGGAGGACAAAGAAACCCAGGAGGAUGCUGAGGUGCAAGUGGCCGAUGACCAGGGCAACGCUGACAAGUCAGAGCAACACGGGAACAUACGACCGUUGGCUGAGCGGUUCGGAAACUUGGUCAAGGACCUCGCUUCGUUACCUCCUCACCUGGAUGUCCCAGCCAACGAGCCCCCUCCUCCCCCACCCAAGAAGGAAUCGGACACGAUCUGGGACCAGCUCCUGGCCAGCCCUCGAGAGCUGCGCAUCGGGGACAUCAACUUCACCGACCUGACGGAGGAAGACGACAAAGACAUUCUGGAUGCCGUUUUGAUGGGAGGAUGCGGUGACCUCCCGCCCCCGCCGCCUCCUCCACCCUGCAUAUUCCGCUUCCCUCCGCCCCCACCCAUGCUAGGCUGCUGCCCCCCGCCCCCUCCCUUGCUUGGGAUUAUGAGGCCUCCUCUUCCCCCUUCCUUUGGUGCCACAAUUCCAGUGCCUCCUCCCCCGGAGCCGCCUCUCUUCAACAAGAAGAAAAAGACAAUCCGGCUCUUCUGGAGCGAGGUGCGUCCGACAGACCCUCAGUACAGGGACUACAAGCGGAGCGGAGACUCGUUCUGGUCCAAACUGGAACCAGUGAAAAUGGACACAGCCAAACUGGAACACCUUUUUGAGUCGAAAUCGAAGGAAAUGCCAGUUACAAAGAAAACAGCGGCAGACGGCAAGCGUCAGGAGGUCAUCGUUUUGGAUUCCAAGAGGAGUAACGCCAUCAACAUCGGUCUGACUGUGCUGCCUCCUCCUCGCACCAUCAAGACGGCCAUCCUUAACUUUGACGAGUAUGCGCUCCACAAGGAGGGCAUUGAGAAAAUCCUGACGAUGAUCCCCACUGAGGAGGAGAAGCAGAAGAUCCAGGAGGCCCAGCUGGCCAACCCUGACGUCCCUCUGGGCUCCGCAGAGCAGUUCCUCCUCACGCUGUCCUCCAUCAGCGAGCUCUCUGCCAGACUCCAACUCUGGGCCUUCAAAAUGGACUACGAGGCAACGCAAAAGGAAGUAGCAGAGCCGCUGCAGGAUCUGAAGGAGGGUAUGGAACAGCUGGAGAAGAACAAAACUCUCCGCUACAUCCUCGCCACACUGCUCUCUAUGGGAAACUUCCUCAACGGCACCAAUGCUAAAGGCUUCGAGUUGACGUAUUUGCAGAAGGUUCCAGAGGUGAAGGACACGGUUCACAAGCAGUCUCUGCUGCAUCACGCCUGCUCCGUGGUGGUGGAGAACUUCCCUCAGAGCACCGACCUCUACUCCGAGAUCGGAGCCAUCACACGAUCUGCAAAAGUGGAUUUCGACCAGCUGCAGGAGAACCUGUGUCAGAUGGAGCGGCGCUGCAAAGCCUCGUGGGACCACCUGAAGGUGAUCGCCAAGCAUGAGAUGAAGCCCCAGCUGAAGCAGAAGAUGUCCGACUUCCUCAAAGACUGCGCCGAGAGGAUUAUCAUCCUCAAGAUCGUUCACCGCAGGAUCAUCAACAGGUUCCACGCGUUCCUGUUGUUCCUCGGUCAUCCGGCCUACAGUGUGAGGGAGGUCAGCGUCCACAGGUUCAGUAAGAUCCUCAGCGAGUUUGCCCUGGAGUACCGAACCACCCGAGACCGCGUCCUGCAGCAGAAACAGAAACGGGCUGACCACCGCGAACGCAACAAGACCCGAGGAAAGAUGAUCAUAGACGUCAACGCUCCUUCUGAUGAUGAAGAGGAGAGUGAGUGUGGUAAGUAUGGCUCCAGCAGCACCAACAGCGCCCCUAGUGGCAGUCAGGAGGGCGAGCAGCCUCAGGGUCUGGGCCACACUGAGGACGCCGCAGAGCACGAGCACAUGAAAGCCAUGCUGAGGACCAGCCUCAGCGGCGGCGACAAGGAGCCCAGUGGAGUGCCGGGGCUUCGGACACGGACGAGAUCCCGGCCUGGAAGGGGAGGUCGCAUUAUGCCUGCACGGACCCCGCCUGUGGAGGAGACUCAGAUCUGUGGAGACGACGAUGCAGACGAGAUCAUGGAGCGUAUAGUGAGGUCGGCCACGCAGGGUCCGGGAACCAGAGCCCAGCCCAGAGAGAGGAGGAGGUCCAGGGCCAACCGCAAGUCAUAUGCCUAAAGCUUAAACAGAGAGGGAUCAAUGAGCAAAACAACCAAACAUGAUUUGACGAUCAGUCGACAAUAGGCAAGAACUGACCAAUCAGAUUCACACCCCUAAAAGACUAUUGGUUUCAUUGUGGGGAAUGUAGGCUCAGGUGUUUUUGGAGCUUCACCCACACUAGAAACUAAAGGUCAGGAUACCUCGGCCUCCGCUGCAUCAACUUUGACCCGUCUUGACAGAGUAGCGCUGGACAUACAAUCUGACAUUAAGGUGACACUUGAACACAGCAUGACCAGAGCAGCCACAGUGAGGCGGACUCUGAAGAACGGCCUGACCCCAGAGGAAGCUCUUGCUUUAGGACUUAGCGAUUCUCCAGAUUCACAAAUGUGAUCCUCCCGACCCGCUUGUCGUCGUCACAGUAGUGGAAACGCCGCUACAGAGUUGUUUUCCACCCGUCACAAACCCUUUUUAGGUUUUUACCCAGCUGCUAAUUUUUGCCUGAUGUGUCCGAGUGAUGAAGCUGCAGCCGUGAUAGUGUUUUUAUUUUGAAUGCAACACAAAGAAAGCUGAAGAAAGAGAACUGAUGUAUUCAACUAGGCGAGGAAAAGGACAUUUUUAAUCCAGCGCUGCUGCCUCUACACACUCAUCCACUGUUUUCAUCGAAAGAUUUUUUGAAAUGUUGCAUUAGUCCAACUUUAGCGUGUGAGUUUCUGCAGCUGUGACUUCACCAUUUUUCAUUUAUUUAAGCUGUGAAUUUCAGUUGUAAAGAUUAACGGGCUGAAGUGGAAGAUUGAUUUUUUUCUCGUAUCUAGUUUCAAAGAAUCCUGAGAGAUCGUCACAAACAAAGAGGCAAAUGUCUCUGCAGCUGCACAUUUGACAAGUGUACAAGUGUGGUUGUGUUUAGUAGGACUGAGAAAGUCUUACAAUCUGAUGUGAUGUGCCUUUCUUUUAAAAGGGACGGUACUGAACCUUUUGGGUGUCCCUCCUUCUUGUUUCAGUCACCUCCUACUUCUCAGAUAACUCACACAUGUCACAUUCACAGGUGAAGUUAUAUCGGGUACGACUGUUGAUUACAAUUUACUUUUUUUAAGUUUGGCAAAAUAUUUGUUUGCAAAACUCGGACAUCUUGCACCUUACUCAACAUUAUUAGUUUCUAAUGCUGAAAUGAACGACACAGACAAAAGGAAGUAUUUAUCUCAGAGGAAAUGUUUGUAAAGUGUAAAAAGACGAAAAGUUAAAGACAUUUUUUAAAUUUUAAAUCUAUUUUGAAGGACAUUGCAGAGAAUUCUGCAUAAAAUGUGUAAAUGCCCUUGUCAGCUGCCAGGUACUAAGUACUGUAGAACUACAGUGUGCAUGUUUAGUGCGGUUCAUUUGAUGUAUUAUUUUUGUAAUUUCUCAGAGAAAGGGUAAAAAGAGGUUAUUCUGUGAAUUGUAAUAAAAUAAAUGAAAGAUGUGGUCAUAGCUGAAAUAUGUGUUCUGAAAGUAUCGCACCGUGCUGAGAGAGGGGCAUUCACUUUGAACUCUGUGGUCACUUUGUACUUUGUAUGAACUUGAAAAGUGUGUGGAUAAUAAUAAUAAUAAUAAGUCUCAGCUAAACCAUCUGCUCCUCUCACAGUGCAACAAAAAACAGGGAAAUAUCGCUGCAUAAAUAUAAUGUGGUGAGCUGAACAUGAAACUAUGGUUACAGACACUUUCACUUGAAAUGCUGUGUAUACACACUCUGCAAUAAAACACAAAAAAAACAUUGAGUGAAAAAAAAAAAAGGAUAUAGAUGUCAUUCUUCUUCACUGCUUUGGAUUAAGGAGGUGCCAUAAACUGCUGCUCACUUCUCCUGUGCAGAUCACAAAGAUCAAUUAAUCAAAGAUAAGCGUGGUACCACAUUAAACUCUUGUGCCCCACUAGUUGUGUUAAUGCAUGCAAUUUACACAUGUUUGCCAUAUGGCUAAAGAUGCUAUUUUACCUACUUACUUCACCAUUGUAUUGUAUAUCUGUAAGUU